UCUCUCUCUCUCUCUCUCUCUCUCUCUCCGUAGGUUAUUAUUCAGAGAAAGAAAGGUUUACCCAUAUUUUGAGGAUGAAGAGAAAGAUUUGAACUUCGAUUUUGAGGUUGAAGAUAGUGGUGGGAGGUUGACGGUGGUGGGGAUGGGAGGUUGAUGAUCUGAACUCCGAUGUUAAGUCACCGAAACAAGAAAUUAACUUGAUAAAGCAAGUAUACGUGUAAGUAAGAUCCACGGAAAUCCAUUUGUUCUUCACAAUUAGUGUUACAACUCAAUUUCACAAUUAUUGUUACAACUCGAUUCAUGUUUCUAGGUUUUGAUUCGAUCGUGAAAUUCAUAUGUUCUUCAAGAUUUGAAGAAUUGACCUUCAUUUUUUGCGAUUAUUCAGAGAAAGAAAUGUUUACCCAUAUUAUGUUAAAAAAUGAUAACCUCCAUGGUAGGCAGUGCUUUUUGAAUCAAAAUCGUGAAAUCCACAAGUCACCAUCGCUGCAAACCCUACCUCUACAAAUCCGGAGAUAACCUCCAUGGCAGGCGGCGCUGCAAAGCCUAUAUCUCAACAAAACCCUGAAAACGAAAUGAAAUUUUAAGACAAGAUAUCGAUUUCUCAACAAAACUUUGUCUCCGUCUACCUCCACCUCGAUUCAGAAACAUUAAUUGCCAAAUAUACAACACUAUCAUCUUCUUGAAAUCUCCAACAGAUUUUUCUUUGAAUCGAUUUUUGAUCUAGAAGGCUUGACCUUUUGAAAUCGAGUUUUGAACUGAUUUCUAUUCUACGGGAUUCUAUGGAAGGAGAUGAAAUCUGAAUUGAGUUAUAGAGCAAAAUCGGAGGUCCAAGAACACGUAGAUCCAAAAUCGAAUGUCCAAAAAAAGGGAUUUUAGAAGAAAUCAAGAAAUUUGUUUGGAUAUAUAUGUUCUUGUGAAUUUCAAAAUUAGAUUCCAAGAAAUUUGUUGUUGUUGUGUUUGUUAUUUUUCUUUCCCUCUUCUUCCAUCUCAAUUGUUGUUGGUGGGUUUGUUUGAAAUUAUUAUUGAGACAACACUAACCGACAAACACAUACAUAUCUUUGAUUUGUUUUUUGAUUUUAGAUUGUUGUUGUUGGGUUUGUUUGAAAUGGUUAAUUAAGGAAAAUGGUUUAAAUAUAGAAGAAAUAUUAUGGAGAGAGAGAGAGAGAGAGAGAGAUCCCUUUUGUAUAUUAUUUUUUUCUCUUAAAUAAAUACAAACAUCAUAGAUGGUCUCUGUGGUCGUGAAAUGACGAAAAUACCCUUCAAUUAACGGACAAAACUUAACGGAAUUAUUAAUAAGGUCCAAUCGUCAAAAGUUUUGAAAGCACAUUGACUAUCUAACAUGUUUUUAAACCACGAGGACUAAACUUCAAAUUUGGGAAACCACAGGGACCAUUUAUGAUGUUUUUUUUUUAAAAAAAGCGUAAAGUUUCAAUUUUUUUUUUUGGUAAAAAAUGUAAAUUUGUAAAAAAAAAACUAAUUUUAAGGCAAAUUUAUUUAUAUAAAAAAACUUUUGACAAAAUUUGUAAUAAAGUUCAAAAAUAAAACGAAAAUUGUGAAAAUAAAAGUUGACUUGUAAGUUGUAACCAACCUGGUAUGGCACAUGAAAAAUAAUUUCGUUACUAUUUAACAGAAGAAAAUGCAUUUGUGGCCAUUUGAAAACAAUAGAGAUAGAUAGUUCGUUUUCCAAAAAACAAUGUUAACCAUCAACUCAAAAGGGUGAUCUAGAUCGGGUUUUACCCUGUUCAAGUUUCAGAAAAGUUUACGAUUGAUUGCACCUAAAGGCCAUGAAAUAAGUUGGAGAAACUUUAGAUUGGGUUCCUUUUUAACACGUGAUAUAUACGAGUAUCAUAUGUUACCAUAAAGCAUCGACCUUAAAAAUUCAGAAGCAUAACUAUUAUAACUAAUAUUUUUUUCUAUUAAAUUAAUAGAUUAAGAAAUAGUUACAAUUGUUAUUUACUCUUUUGGAUUAGUUACCCAACUUCAGUCUUCAGCUUUGAUGAAAAAAUAUAACAAGAUCAUGUAGUACUUUGUUUUUGUUUUUCUUUUUUAAUUCAUGAGGAUUAUUAUUACAUUAUAGAAUUCAAAAUGAACAAAAAUGACAUGAAUUUUUUUAUGGGGGAUGAAUGGCACCUUUUUUUUUUUUUUUUUUUAUGGAGCCAUGAGGCCUUCAAUUGUAUAGAAAAGAGACUCCACCAAAUCGGUUUUAAACAAAAUAUUAUGCAAUGUGUUCAUCACAUCAUACUCCGGAUCAAGUUUCCUCUGCCAACUCUGCAUAAAAAUAUAAACUACAAAAUUCCAAACAUAUAUAUUUUAUUAUUAUUAUUAUUAUUAUUUAUAUUUCUUUUACUAUAUAAAAAUUACCUCCAAAACUAAAGUGGUGACAAUCACAGUGCAAACAUUCCCAUCAAUAUUAACUCUAUGCCUCCUAACUUGCUCAAGCAACUGUUGCAUACAUUGUGCAGGAUUUAACAACUCACCCUCCCCACAACUCCAUGACAUAAACGAUUUCUCAACAUCCUGUGUUGCAUCACAUUGUUACACGAAUGGUCCCUAUAGUUUGGGGUAAUUUGCACGUUUGGUCCCUAACUUAUUUUUUUAACUCGGAAGGUCCCUAAUGUUUGUUUUUGUUGCGCGCUUGGUCCCUGUCUUACCUAAAAAGAAAAUCAAAGGCAAAAUAGUAUUUUUAGGUAAGACAGGGACCAAGCGCGCAACAAAAACAAACAUUAAGGACCUUCCGAGUUAAAAAAAUAAGUUAGGGACCAAACGUGCAAAUUACCCCAAACCAUAGGGACCAUUCAUGUAAUUUACUCCAAAAUCUUUAAUACCUUAAUGAAAGCUGUGGGAUUCGGGCAGUUUUGAUGUUUUGAAAAUUUAAGUGUGUGUUCUGCAGCAGCACGUCCAUCUUGAAGAGCGACAGCUUUAAAAAACUCAAUCAGAUUUAAUCUAUCUUUUUUACAGAGUUCAGCAGUCAUACCAACAUCAAGGAAAAUUACAUGAGGCUUUGAUUUAAAAAGCCCUGUAUCUGUAACUUUUCCCUGAGUUACCCUUACUAGAAUAUUCCCUGGAUGCAUGUCUGCAUGGAUAAAGUUGUCCACCAAAAGCAUCUUCAGAAGAGCAUGAGUUCCAAUAUGAGCAAGCCCAGUUUUAAUUCCAACAUUUCCAUCAAGUGCAUCAACAUAAUGCAAUAUAUUUUCACCUUGUUCAAAAGUUUCCACUAAAAUAGCAGGAUGUACAAGUGGAUACAAAGGCCUAGGAAAUGACACGUCUUUCCAUCUUCUGAAAUUGUAAAUAAAUCGACUUAAAUGAGCAGCUUCUCUUGCAAGAUCAACUUGUGACAUCAUAAAAACAGCAAACUGUUGUAUGCUUUCUUCGAGUCUUAACCAUUUUAAAUUUGGGAGAAAAGAUGAAAUUUUUGCAAAUAAAUUUAAAAUUAUGAAAUCCCUUCUGAUUCUUUCACUAACUCCUGGAUGUCUAACUUUAACAGCAACAAGAAUGGGUUUGAUUUUUUGUCCAGGGUGGCGAAACUUUAAGGUUGCUCUAUGAACUUGUGCUAUGCUUCCGGAAGCUACCGGAUCUUCCUCAAAGUUUUCAAAUAUUUCAAAUAAUCGACGCCCGAAUGCUUUUUCAAUAGUGUUCUUUGUGUGUGCAUAGGUAUGAGCUGGAGCAUUUGUUUGAAGCUCUGUGAGUUUUAUGCAAAGAUCAUUAGGGAAAAGAUCGGGUCUUGAAGCAGCCCAUUGACCCCAUUUGAUGAACGCGGGUCCCGCUUUUUCUAAAGUGUGGUGGACGCAUUGUAGCCAUGUCAGACGAAAUUUAGGUCCAAAGGAAUCAGCAAAAGGAGCCAUGGCUAUGCAUGGUGUGAAGAGGAAAGAUAAGUAAAUUGCUCUAAGACAUAAGAGUAUGAGUUCUAUAAAAGAGAAGAUGAAUGAGGUUAAGUAAACAUGUCCAUCUUGUGUGAAAGUGAAAAGAUCAUUUUUGUAAAACCCUUCUGCUUCUGCUAAUGUUUUUCGUUUCCAUGUGAGUUCUCCUACUAAAAAGGCUAAUAUCCCAGGAGCAAUGAGUUGGGAUCUAGUUAAAGCAAAGCUUAUAGCACAUGUGAUUCUAUUCAUUGGUUGGAUUGGCACAUUGUAGGUAUAGAUUUGGGAAAACCUUUUCCAUGCCAUUUGAGCAUGGUGUGAGACUUUACUACUUGUUGAUAUGAAAUAGAAUCUUUGAAAAUUUCUACAACUCCAUAAACUUUUCUUUGAUUCAUAACAAGAAAGGCCUCUGUUGAGAGCCUUAUGUUGUGAAUAGAGUCUAUAGGAGUGGCGAAAGGCAACUGUUAAUUGGAGUGUAUGAUUAUUAGCUUUAAUUGGAAGAAGGGAAUUUGCUGCCCUUCUAAUGCUGGAAACUGCUAACAACCUGCAUCAUGUUAAUUAAGCACCUUUAUAUCAUGUCAAUUAUGUGAGAUUGUAUGAUCAAAAUGAUGAACAAAAGGUCAACAACUACAAUCCUGACUUCUAAUGUUCUUGAUUAAAAUCAUAGGAAUAUAAACUUAUAAUACCCAAUACGUGCUAAGAUUAUGCGCUUACACUACAACGCAGUCAAUCAAGAUGCCAAAACCAUCGAGACAUGCAUAUGAGUUCUGAUUGACAUGGUUCUUCAAUUAAUCGAUAGUAGUUGAAUAAUUAACAGAGAUUUUGCAUAGAAAACAUUGGGCGAACAAAUAUCAAUACAUCAAAAGAAUGGAAACGAUUACGAUGCUAAGUAAUAAGUUGAUUGCUAUGUACCUUGAGAAGGCCAUGUAAAUCAGAUGAAAAUCGGUGGAUAAUCUGUAGGCAAAAGAGGAUACAUGCCGGCAUUUUCACCAGCUGAAACAUCGAAUCAUCUUCUUUGUUGCUGUCGCCGUGGACGUCGCCGGCGGUCAAACAUGACGGUUUGAUGAUUUUGUUGUGUAGAAGCGAUUGAGAAACGGAGGUUGAUUGUGGAGGCGACGACUGCGGGUUCGUCGGAUUCGUACCACUGGUAAAACAAAAGGGUUGCGGAGAUGUGCCCGCUUGAUGAUAAUAAUUUUACACAAAUCUUCAUAAAUAGUCCUUAUGGUUUUCUAAAAUAUCAAUUUUAAUGACCAAUAAUUUUCAAUCUCAUUAAAGAUCCAUAUAGUUUUAAUUUCUAUCAUUUACAAAGUAGACUUCCCUAGUAAGAAAAACAAAUGAAAGUAAAACAUUAUAGGUAUUAUUGUAAUAUUUUUCAAAAUAGUGACCAUUUUAUUUUUACACAAGGACCAAAUCUAUAUUCAUUUACAACCAUAAGGAACAUUUUUUUAUAAGUUAUUUAUUUCUAUGCACAUGGAUCAUUUAUAUGAUAAUUUUCUAUCAUAUUAACCAAAAUUUUAUAAAUUGAUUAAAAAUUUAAAGUACUUCUUAAUUAGAAAAAAAAAAACGUUGAAAUUAAAAUUCUAUGGUAUGAAAUAUGAAAAUGAGUUGCCAUAUAAACAAACAAACGGAUAGGUUGUUUUUCUUUUAAUUAACAUUUUUUUACAAGAAGUGUAAUGUAAUAAUUAUUUUGCAACAAAUACCAUAAUGUUCUAAAAACCAGAAACAGGAACAAGAACUAUCGUAGAAUGUCUUUUGGAUGUUUUUUUUUGGUUUGUGUGUUUGUGACCGAAUAGUAAAGUAAAUCAUUGAGUAUUUAAUUUUCUUUUUAUUUGUAAAUUGUAAAAACGUACGUUGCUACACAUGAUAUUUUGUAACCAUGCUGUUUUUUGGAGCAAAGUAUGUAGAUAAGAGACUAGAUACAAUGCUAAAAUUUUUAAAAAAGAUACGCUAUUACACACCAUCAUGAAAGUAAGAUGCUAUAAAAGUGAAAAAAAAAUAGAAUUCUAAAAUAAUGCUAAAACAGUGAAAUUAAAAUCUUAUUAAUCAUCAUGAAAAUAGAAUGUUUAAACGAUGGCAUUUUUAAACCCAUUUGGCUAAUUAACAUGUAUACAUGAUUUGGUUAAUAUCAGUACAAUGUUAUAAGUAUUCGGAGAAUUCACGUGUACACAUCAUCAUCAAAGUAAAUUGCAUUCCACAGAGGAAAUGAUGUUACAAGGGUCGUCUUGAUUCAUCGAUCCAUUAAUUUUUUUUUUCCAUUCUGUCAGAUUUGAGUUAACUAAUUUGAUAGAUAACUUCAUAUAUUUUUUUUUUUCCAUUCUGUCAAUUUUGAGUUAACUAAUUUGAUAGAUAAUUUCAUAUUUUGUAUAUUUGGUUGGUUUUAGUACGUUUUGUAUUUCUCAUUGUAAAGUUUUUUUUUCUUUAAUUGUAUACUCUUAACCUUGCCUUUUAUAUUUGAUUUUUUUUCUUCAUAUUUUUAAGUUGGACUAGAUGUUAGUCAUGCCAUUGUUCCACCAUAUGAAAAAUCUCCACCUCAACUCCACAUAAGAUUGUGGUGUGACAUCCAUUUUGAAACCAUGGACAAAGAGUGAUGGAGUGAUGGAGAAGAAAGGAAGAAGAGAGAGAGAUAGAGGAGACGGUGAGAGAAGAUGGAGAAAGACUCGACUCUUUCUAGUCGAGAAGAGAUAAACCACACUCAGAAUCAGAAAACCAACACGGUGUUUGCCACAUCUUAAGUGACAAACUGCAUUCGAAACCACACCUACACCGUUCAGCCUGAAACAUAUUUUGAUAUGUUACAUAUGACUUUUGCAAAGUGGGAUGAUUUUGUCACUAUUUUCUAUACAAAUCAAAUUUUUGGAAUUCUAUCAUCAAACAUCUAUUGUUCAUCCACAUUUCAAAUCACUAUACCAUGUAAUGCAUCCUCAGUUGUAUAGACAAUGAAAUUAUAUAAACAAUGAACGAUAAUUAAUUUAAUGAUCAACCCAUUCAUCAAAAGUACAAUACAUUAGUUACAAUUUGUUUUAUAUACAUAAUAAAAAAUAAACAUCUUUACUAGUGUCUUAUUUGAAAAUUAACUCACAUGAGAAUAUAAACAUAUACAACACAAUAGAGAAUCCAUGGAUCACUUAAUCAACUUUAAUUCCAAGGCUAAGUGGGAGCAACCCACAAGACAUGAAAGCUGCAUUUUUCAUUUUGUCAUUUCGUCGAACACAUGAUGCGCAUCUCCCUCUCCCUCCAUUUAUACCCCAUUCACUCAAUUCCCAAACCAAAACAGUCACACUAACACGAUCGGAUUCUAUCGACGGAAUCACACACGAGGGAGGAUGAUUAGUGAUGCAGUAAGGAAAUCUUGGGUGGUGGCCGCUACCAUCGGUUCGGUUGAGGCAUUGAAAGAUCAAGGUGUUGCACGGUGGAACAGACCUCUUACGAAAAUUUCUUAUUGUUUGUCGGCGGUGAUUACAACUAGUAAAUUCAGAGUGAAGAGAGGAAAAGAGGAAUCAAUGAAGAAAGCCAUGGAUAUGAGUUGCUUUGGUCCAAAUACUGUUAGAUUUUAGAAGCAUGCUCUGUAUUAUUUCCAUGGAUGUCGAUCCACAAGAUAAACAACACUAACACUAAUCCUGUAAGUGUUCAUAAGUUGUCUCCAUCCAUCAUCAAUACAUGAAUUUUGAAUCGAAUCGCGACACAAAUUCUUGCCGAAUUAACUUUUCUACUUCAAAAUCAAACAUACCAGUUGAUCUGUUGCAUCAACAGAUCAAACUAUUGAUCAUUUCAAAUGAAGUUUUGAAAUCUGAUUAUUGAUACGAAGAUUAAUCCACAUCCACAUAUUAUAUUCAUAUAUUAUCUUUACAUUGGGAGAACAAACAUCAAUACAUCAAAAGAAAAGGAACGAUUACGAUGCUAAGUAAUAAGUUGAUUGCCACGUACCUUGAGAAAGCCAUGUAAAUCAAAUGAAAAUCGGUGGAUAAUCUGUAGGUCGUGGCCGUCGCCGGGGUCAAAUAUGACGGUCGUCGCCGGCGGUCAAACAUGACGGACCGAUGAUUUUGUUGGUUAGAAGCGAUUGAGAAACGGAGGUUGAUUAUGGAGGCGACGACUGUGUGUGCCACUAGUAAAACAAAAAAGGGUUGCAGUUAAUAAUUUUACACAAAUCUUUCAUAAAUUGUCCUUAUCGUUUUCUAAAAUAUCAAUUUUAAUGCCCAAUUUUUUUCGAUCUCAUUAAAGAUGAUUAUGGUUUUAAUUUAUAUCAUGUUAGAUUUUUAAAGUAGACUAACAAAUGAAAGCAAAACAUUACAGGUAACAUUUUACAUUUAUAUAAUAUUUUCCUAAAUAGGACCAUUUUAGUAAUCUUUUCUUACAAAGGACCAAAUCUAUAAUCAUUUACAGCCAUUGGAAUCAUUUUUUAUUUUAUAAGCUAUUUCUACACAUGCAAUAUUUCUAUAGUCUUUCGUGACAUGGACCAUUUAUAUAAUAUUUUUCUACUAUAUGAACCAACAUUUUAUAAAUUCAUUAAAAUUUCAAACUACUUCUUAAUUAGAAAAAAAACUUUGAAAUUAAAAUUCUAUGAAAUAUAAAAUGAGUUGCCAUAUAAAGAAACAGAGGAAGAUAGGCUGCUUUUCUUUUACUUAACAUUUUUUUUUACUAAAAGGGUAAUAUAAUCAUUAUUUUACUAGAAGGACCAUAAUGUUCUAAAAACCGAAAACAAUAACAAGAACUAUAGUAUGAGAGUGUUUGGCUUAGCUUUUUAAAUGACUUUUGACUUUAUCUUUUAGAAAAAGUCCCAAAAGAUGUUUGGUAAAAGGAAAAUGACUUUUGUAAAUGACUUUUCCCAUAGAGUAAUUUUAGUCUUUUUGAAAAGUCACGAUUACCUGGUUUUUCCCAACUUUUCAUCAGCUAAAAAUAGUAAAUUACCAAUAUACCUCUCAUCUAUCUUAAACAUGUCUUUUUUUGUCAUUUUACAUGUAAAAGUUAAAUUAAACAUUUUAACUUUGGACUUUUUCCAUUCAAAAGCUAAUCCAAACACAUUUUAAAAAAUAACUUUUGUAAAAAGUUCUUUUACAAAAAGGACUUUUGCCCCACAAAAGUUAAGCCAAACAACCCCUAGAAUGUCUUUUGGGCGUUUUUUUGGUUUGUUUGUUUGUGACCGAGUAGUAAAGUAAAUUAUUGAGUUUUUAAUUUUUCUUUUUAUUUGUAAAAAAGUCUGUUGCUACACAUAUGAUAUUUUGUAACCAUGAUGUUUUUUUGGAGCAAAGCAUGCAGAUAAGAGACUAGAUCCAAAAUCAAAUGCUUCCAAAUAAUUUUAACUACAUUCCGGGUGAAUAAAAUUGUUAUUUCAUGUGAUGAUAUUUUCUCGAUAUUUCUCUAUUUUGAAAUUUUCAAUUGGUAGCAAUUAUGUGUUUAUUGUUUAUAAUAUAAAAAAAUUCAUGGUGAUAGGAACUGCUCAUAAGAUUCUAAAGACCGUACCAAAUGACAUGUUUUUCGUCUGAUUUAUGGUUUGGUGGUAUAUCAAAAAACUAAUGAAGAUGACUGUCAGAAUGGUAUGCCAAAAAUGAUGUAAAAAAGUUUUAAAAACACUGCUUGUAUAAAAAUCAAUGAAAAUGACAAAAUGAACGCACCUAUACACAUAAAUUUAAGGUACAAGUGUGUGUGUGUGUUUCUUUAGAAUGAAAUUAGAAUUCUAUAUCAAACCUAAUUUAAAAAAAAAAGUAUAUGUACACAUGAUUUGGAUAAUGCAAGUAUAAUGCUAAAACUUUUCACAAAGAUACACUAGUACACACCAUCAUGAAAGCAAGAUGCUAUAAAACUGAUGUAAAAUUAGAAUUCUAAAACAAUGCUAAAAUAUUGAAAUUAAAAUCUUAAUAAUCAUUAUGAAAAUAAGAUGCUUAAAAGAUGACGUUUUUUAAAAGCAUUUGGCUAAUUAACAUGUAUACAUGAUUUGGUUAAUAUUAGUAUAAUGUUACUUUUAUUUGGAGAAUUCACGUGUACACACCAUCAUCAAAGUAAAUUGCAUUCCACAGAUGAAAUGAUGUUACAAGGGUCGUCUCGAUUCACUGAUCCAUUGAAAAUUUAUCCAUUCUAUCAGCUUUUGAGUUAACUAAUUUGAUAGUAGAUAAUUUCAUAUUUUGUAUAUUUGGUUGGUUUUAGUAUGUUUGGUAUUUCUCAUUGUAAAGCUUUUUGUGUGUGUGUAUGUUUGCCUUUAACCUUUAAUUGUAUACUCUUAACCUCGCCUUUUAUAUUUGAUUUUUUUCAAGUUUUUAAGUUGGACCAGAUGUUAGGCGGGAGGUUGUCAUGCCAUGAUUCUACCAUAAGAAAGCUCUCCACCACAACUCCACAUAAGAUUGUGGUGUGACAUCCAUUUUAAAACCAUGGACAAUGAGUGGUGGAGAAGAAAUGUAACACCUGAUUCAAGGUACUUUUCAUUUUGACCCUUAGUAUGUAAAUAUUUUACAGUUUUGGUCUCUAGGGGGUAGUUUUGCCAAUUUCAUAAUUCUUGGAGUACGUGGGGCAUACACACCCAAGGGACAAACCCUAAAAUUUAGGGUUUGGACCCUAUAAACAACUUAAUGAACACGAACUCAUUUCCCAGCCUUCAUUUCCCUUUGAGUCCCAUUUCGAAACCCUAUCCCUUCUUUAAUAGAUUAGACCCUCUUGUGUGUGUUUGUGAGAUUAUAUGAAGAAGAGCUUAUAAGAAGGAGCCUUGAUCAAAGUAGAACUUGUAGAUCCAUAUUUCACACAUCAUUUCCAGCUUCAUUGAGGUAUAAAGCUUGGAACUUGCUCCUUGUAUGUUUAGAUCUAGUCUUUAUAAAGUUUUGAUCCCUUUUUAGUCCUAUGAUGAGAUCUAGUGGGUUUCUUCCACUCUAGAAGUUAGGAGUUGUUUCUCUUGAUGCUUAUGAGGUCCCUAUUCCAUGAAGUUAGCAUAUUGAUGGUUGUGGAUUAACCAUGCAUGUUUUUAGGUCCACCUGGUGAAAGUAGAAUGCUAAAAUAAGGUUUGGGUUCUUUUGACCAUGCAAGGGCUCCAAGUUCAUGAAUUUAAGGAUUAAGACGUUCCUUUAGACUUGGAUCUGGAAUUUGGUUGUUGGAAUGCAAGUAUUAAACACUUAAGGAAAAAGUGGUUAAUAGGUGCGUACUUUGGGCGUAUGCAAGAGUACACGGUGUGUACGUGCCCGUGUCCGUGAUCACGUAUUGUUGCCUAUUAUGCAGGACGUAUGCCUAGCAUGCGAAGCGUACCAAGCUUGAUCUUGGGCCUUCUUUUAGACUCAGACUCUUUUUAAACUUUGGGCCUUAGUUGGAUUUUGGGCCUUGUAUCUGUUGGGUCAUAAUUGGACCUUAGGUUUAUGUGUUAGCCCAUUAUUGGGCCUUGGACCACUAUAAGGUUAUUGCGCAAAGCUAGUUGGGCCCAAUAAAGGGAAAAGGUAGAAAAGUAUUUUACCCUUAAGGCUGAGGAUGUUAGAUUGGGGACCCCGAUUAUGAAUUUGACCUAAUUAUUAAUUAGGGUAUUGUUUGAUUGAUUAGCGCGAGGAUUUUCUGGAUUAGCAAUCCAAGCAUUUAUCUGAUUUUCAGCAGUCUGAGGUGAGUCUGCUCAUAGUGUUUUAUGGGUCGAAGGCACCAAUGCCGAUCCAUGAUUUAUUAUGAUUAGGAAGCUAGUUAGCUGUGUGACUCUUGCAUGUGUAGUAUGUGAUAUGUAUACCGGGCGGGGUCUGAUGAGAGUAUUGUAUAUUAUUUGUCUUGGUGAUUCUUGUAUGUUUUAUGUGUCUGUAUGAAUGUCAUGCUAGGCCCGAUGCCAGGCUGGGCCUGAUGAAUGUGAUGAGGCAGGGCCCAUCUUACGUUAUCGACAGAUUUGUUCCAAGCGUGGCUCGAUGUCGGGUGAGGCCUGAUAGUUUUUAGACAUAGCCUAUUAUAUGUUUGAUAUGUAUGGUAUGAGGUAUUUUGGGGAACUCACUAAGCUUCGUGCUUAUGGUUUUCAGUUUAUGUUUCAGGUACUUAUGGAUCGAAGGGGAAGGGCUCGAGAUGAUCGCAUCGCACACACCACGUUGUUUCGUAUUUUGUUGAUUUGAUGUACCUGGAUAAUUAUUGACGUACUCUAAUUUUCUUUUAUGGUUUUAUAAACUCAUUUUGGAUGUUGGUUUUAUUAUUAUUAAAAUAUAAUUUUUGUUCUUAAAUUCUGGACGUUACAAGAAAGGAAGAAGAGAGAGAUAGAGGAGACGGUGGGAGAAGACGGAGAAGGACUUGACUCUUUCUAGCCGAUGAGAGAGAAACCGCACUCGUAACCACAAAACCAACUCGAUGUUUGCCACAACUUAGGUGGAAAACCGAACUCGGAACCGUACCCACACCUUUCAGCUUUAGAAAUAGGAACAUGUUUUGAUAUGUAACAUAUGAUUGCUGAAAAGUAGAAUGAUUUUGUCACUAUUUUAGUACAAAUCAAAAUUUUGGAAUUCAUUAGCAUUAUGGAAAACAUCUAUUUUUCAUCCACAUUUCAAGCCACUAUUCGUUACUUACACCAUGUGUAACGCCCGUAGAUCAGGGCUAAUCAAUUAAGAGACGAUAAGCGUCAAAAAUGACUUUUUUUAUAAAAAGAUUAUUUAGAAUGAAUAACCUUAACUAAGUUGUAGUAUAUGUCACAAGGUUUCCAUGCAUAUAAAGAACGCCGAAAUCCGAGUUAUAACGAAGAAGUUAUGACCUGUCGAAGUUUCACAACAGAACCGACACGACCCAGCACGACCCAGCGCGACGUANACACGACGCUGAAUGACGUAAAAAGUGAAUUUACGUUAGAUUGAUGUUUAGCCUUAGCGAUCUAAUCAAAAGUUGUAGAGUUCGUUAAACCAUGAGCGUGCAUAAAAAGAACGUCCGAAUCUGACUUCGUAUGAGGAAGUUAUGAUUUUUCUAAGUUUCGACUUAGCGGUAUGCAGCCCGAAUACUUGAUUUGAGAUCGAGUGGUUUUUAUCCGAAACACUAUAAACGAGAAUCGAAGAUCUUGUUGAUAGUAGUCCAACGGUAAAAAGACAGACGAAAACGGACGUCAGAUGAAGAAGUUAUGAAUUUAUAACGAAGUUUUCCUGUUCCGGCCUACUAAAAAUAAAUAAUAAAAAAUAAAUCAAAAUUAGCCAACGGAGUCUAAAUGAAAGUUGUAGAGCAUAAUCUCACCUACGCGUGCCUAUAAAGAACGUCGAAAACGGAGCUCGUAUGCGAAAGUUAUGAAUUUUUGAAGAUCGUGGCACGCAUACCAAAACUUAUCCGAAGCGUACGCCCAACGUAACCAAGAUUACACCCAGCGUACUGAGUACACCCAUCGUACUUGGAAAUUAUGCCCAACGUAAUCCCAUACCCAGCAGCCUAUAAAUAGAAACUGAGAUAAUCCAUUUUCUUUGGUCAUUUUCUUUCUUCUCUCUAGUUUUUGCCUCGAUUUGCGUGCCAAUUACAUCCCUAACCCCCGGUAUCAUUCUCGAGCCCUGAAGCAAUUUCCGAAGCCUCGAGGGUCCCGAGAAGUGAGAUUCCCGAGCCGAAGCUCUGCUCGCGAGAAGCCCGUUUUUUGUGAAGAUCUUCCAGAUCUACCGAAGAAUACUNAUAUAUAUAUAUAUAUAUUGUUGUUUAUAUGCGUGAGUGUAUAGUUACUUUGUUCUACCACAUAGAUAUGAAGUAUUUGCUAUGAAAUACGUGCUAUGUGUUUACACGUUGUUUGUUUACUUGAGAUGGAUGUUGAACGAAUGUUUUAUACAUGUUUUUAAAUAAUUUAAAUGAUAUAUAUGUAAUUUAUAUCUACAAAUAUGUUGGAUAGAACAUGGGUAGAUGAAAUAGUUGGUGUGUGAUGAAAGAUGAGUUUGAGGACGAGACGAAGAUGAUAUAUAUCAUGAGAUGAGGGUGACAGGUGAAAAAUGAGUGAAACCUUUACCCAAACGAUGGCCCCCGUCAUUCAGCAGAGUAGGGAUGACAACCAGAGACUAUUCUAGACAGUCCAGCGGAACACUAGCAAGCUCGCAACUUGUAGGUGUUGUGGACUUGAUGUUCACCGGUGUACUCUAAAAACCCUGGCAGCUAUAGAUUUAGUGCCUCAUUAUAAAACGAUGGUAGCUAUGGAUUUAGUACAGUGUAGAUGAACCAUGGUAGCUAUGGAUUUAGUACUAUGAACCUUGGUAGCUAUGGAUUUAGUACUAUGUAGAUUAACCUCAGCCAACAAUGGACUUUAUGCCAAUUCCUUAGGAACGAAUGAAGGAAGGAUAGUCGAUUCUUAGGGUAAAACCUUAAGAAAUAAAGAAGAUAAAGGGGAUGGGUAAUUGGGUUGAUUGUUUGAUGAUUGAAUAUAAUAAUUAUAUUAUUGUGGGCUGAAAACCCUAUAUGCUCACCAGGGUCCCAAGCCUGACCCACUCAGUUUUCUUUGUAUCACAGGUAUCAAUAUGAAGACAUAUUGCACUAAGAGAUUAAAGGAGAUGUAAAUCAUUAGUGUAAAUAAAUGUAAGUUCUGUUUAUGCUUAUGUGUCUGUAUCGGAACAUGACAUCCCGAGAUUUUGUUAUAUAAUGAAAAUACUUUUCUUUAAGAAAUGCUUUGAUAAAUUCUUAUCAUAUUUUGUUUUGGGGACAAAUUCCGCAAUAAUUUUCUUUAAACGAUUACUCUGAUUUUAAAAACAAAGCAUAAACAAAUCGGUAUUUUCUGGCCGAGAUUUUGGGGAUGUCACACCAUGUAAUGCAUAAUCAGUUGUAUAGUUGUAUAGACAGUGAAAUUAUAUAAACAAUAAACGAUAAUUAAUUUAUCGGGCAACCCAUUCAUCAAACAAACAUUAGUUACUAUUUGUUUUACAUAUAUAAUAAAAAAUAAACAUCUUGACUAGUGUCUUAUUUGAAAGUUAACUCAUUGAGAAUAUAAACAUAUACAACAUAAUAGAGAAUCCAUGGAUCACUUAACCAACAUUAAGUCCAAGGCUAAGUGGGAGUAACCCACAAGAAAUGAAAGCUGCGUUUAUCAUUUUGUCAUUUUGUCGAACAUAUGAUGCACAUCUCCCUCCACCACCAUUUAUACCCCCUUCACUCAAUUCCCAAACCUAAAUAGUCACACUAACCAGAUUGGAUUCUAUCGAUGGAAUCACACACGUGGAGAAUGAUUGGCGACACAGUAAGGAAAUCAUGGGUGGUGGCCGCUACCAUCAGGUCGGUUGAGGCAUUGAAAGAUCAAGGCGUUGCACGGUGGAACAGACCUCUUACAAAAAUUUCUUAUUGUUCGUCAGCGGUGGUUACAACUGGUAAAUUCAGAGUGAAAAGAGGAAAAGUGGAAUAAAUGAAGAAAGUCAUGGAUAUGAGUUGCUUUGGUCCAAAUACUGUUAGAUUUUAGAAGCGUGCUUUGUAUUAUCGCCAUGGAUGCCGAUCCACAAGAUAAACAAGUCUAACACUAAUCCUGUAAGUGUUCGUAAUUUGUCUCCAUCCAUCAUCAAUGCAUGAUUUUUGAAUCGAACCACGCCACAAAUUCCAAAUUCUUACUGGAUUAAAGUUUCUACUUCAAAAACAUAUCGGUUGAUCUAUUGCAUCAGCAGAUCAAACUAUUGAUCAAUCAACGUUAAUUUCUAUUGAAGUUUUGAAAUCUGAUUAUUGAUAUGAACAUUCAUUUACAUAUUAUAUUCAUAUAUUGUUUCACGAUACUCAAACUUUUCAUAAUCAAACAUAUUAUAUUACAUAUACAACUUUAUACUCCUCUUUUUGUUAUCUUUACACGGACAUUAUAACACCCAAAUCUACAAUCUCAAAAGUCAAAAUCAUCUUGAUUUGGUUUGGGCGAAGUCAACAAAGCAGUGUAAAGCCUCAACCGAUCUUCCCCAAGUGAAGAACACCUCGACAAUGGUCUUCUCGGCCUAAUGAAAGACAACGACGUCAAAGUGAGUCUAUGCUGGUACCUUCGCCAUGCCAACUGAAUCGCCACCGCCGCCCAAGUCCUCCACCCCGGAGAAUAAUACCGAGCACUCCUCUUCACCUUUUCAUUCACAAAUGUAUACCUAAAAUGCCGCGUUACAUACUUGACAUCAUCGGCUUCUAGCCCAAAAGCUUCGGUUGUUUCAAGAGUCACGAGCGUUGAUGAUGACGGUGGUAGUCUCUCGAUGAAUGGCCGCCGGAGACACCAUGAUAAGAGCUCGUCGCCGCUGAAGUUUCCGGGUCCUAACAUGCAACAACUGUUGACACCAUCUCGGAGUACUUGGCUGCUUUGAAGAUGACCUCUUACUAUGAACAACAUUCUCUGUACAGGGUCACCUUCUCUUGCAAUCUACUCAUAAAUAAAAUAUUUUUAAAGAAAAUACGAAAUUGAUGUAAUAAUUAUCAAAUUCAUAUUUUGGUUGCAAAAUUGAAUAAAUUGCAAAAUUGAUUUUUUCUUUUUGAAAAAUUAAAAAAUUACUUUUUACUCACAAAAAGCUACACAUAUGACAUAAAAGAUUCUAUAUAUUAGUUAUUAUUAUUAUUAUUUUUAAACUGAACCUCAACUAUAUUUUUUAUUUUUUUAAUUAAAGGUCAACUUUAUUUUUGAUUAACAAAAGAUUGCAAAAUUGGUUACUUUAUUAAAUAUUAAAUAUCAUAUGAUAGUUAAUUUUGUGAUUAAAUGAAGGUAGUAAUUGUAGACUUUUGAGUUCAGAAGGACUAACCGUUUCUCCCUUUGUAAAAAUGAGGGACUUGACACGAUCGCAUAUAUUCUCAAGGACCAAAUUGUCCAUAUGUUGAAAUAAUGGUACCUGAGUUAAACAUUCAUCAUAACAAUAAGAUUUUAAGAUAAGAAGUAAGAACAUAUAAGUUUCAUCUCACCUCCUCGAAGGUCUAUCUUAUUACCAAUUACACGCACCAGUCAAGAUUAUUGUCAUUUAAAUCCAAACAGUUCAACAUUUACAAAGUUCUAUUUAGUAUAUCAUUAUAGAAAACUUUUUACAAAACAAAGAAACCAUUUAUUCAUUGUCGAUAAAUCUAUAUCUCAACUGAUAAAAUAAGAUAUUUCGAUUCGUUAUAGAUAAUAGACAAUAGAUUUUAGAUUAUCAAUAUAUAUACCUGUCGCACCAAGUCCAAACAGAGAUGAUACUUAAUGUCUCUCCUGAGACCCUCAGGAAGAUUGUGUAUCAUCUCACAUUCGUCCACACCACGCAUUGCCGUCCAUCGUUGGCGCUCAUAGUUACGUACUCUUUGCCGGAAACUUUGAGGGAGCUGCCUCCUCUUCAUCCACCACUCUAUGUUUCUCAUUUUCAAUUGCAUAGCUAGUUUCUUUGAUGUUGUUGCAUGUAAAAACACCUAUAUACACAAAAAUAUAUCAUCUUUCAAAAAUGACUAAAACGUCCUUGUAUUCUCUACAUAUUUAAAAAAGUAACUUUAAGUUCAAUAAGGAUGCUUUUGAGACCAAUCCAUGCUAUUUAUAUGUGUGUGCAUGUACCUUGAUAUUUCCAAUCAACAUGGUGACUAGAAGAAGUCCCAUUGUGAGAACGAUGAUGAUGAAAACACAUUCCAACCAAUCUGUUGUGCUUUCUAAGUUCCCAAACGUACUGUAUAUAUAUAAUAAAUACAUAUAAUAAAAUCAUUUAACACUAUAAAAAACGUUUCUUGAUGAAAAUCGAGUUACCUAAGGUUCAUGAGUCCCCAAAAAAUGGGUAAAAGUAUCUUUUCUAAACGGCUAUCAUUGGUAAAGAGUUGAAGAGUCCAUUUAUAAGCUCCAUAGCCAUCUUCGCUUUCAAGACAAGUUGUUCUCGCCUCUUUAUUUGAUCCCCAUAAGAGCCUUGUGUGAUCUUUCACAAACUUAUCUGUGCCAUAAUAAACAGGGUUCUGACAUGUCAAAAAUCUUGAGACACAAAUCCCGUUUGUUUCCAUGCAUUUUUCUUUCAAGCAUUUCACAACCCUUUGCAUACCAAGCAAGUACCAACACGCUCCUACAGCCUGCAAACCGAUAAAAAAUAUUUGAGAAAAUGACUGAAAUAUAUUAAAUUCUAGCUAGUUAUAUUAUAUGUAAGCACAAUUUAAAGAGUACUUUUGUCACAGUGCUUUUGGGAGUAAAUUUAUUUUCAAUUAUUGAAGGGGUCUAUCAUAAUUUCAAAAUAAUGUAGGCAUGUUAAGACAAAAUUAAGAUAAAAAAAGACAAUCUUACAUGAGAGGCAACUAAAUAAGCGAUCAAAUUGAGAACAAUCCCCCACCAAACAGUACCAAAAAUGUAGCCUGAGAGAUUUUGCAUACGUCGCAAAAGGCAUACAGAGUGAUAAAUCUUUGGUAAGUAUUGAAACAAGAACACGAGUAAAGAAACUGUCAUUAUUUCUGUCGUCAAACCCUUCUUUAACAAUGCAGGAAUCACUACCCAUAACACCACCUGUCCAAAGAAUUUAAUUCUAUAUUAUUUAAAAAUUAAAUAUAUAAUAAAAAUGAACCAUUUAUUGUGAAUGAUUUCACCUUAAUAGUUAAAAGAGAAAUAAAGUUAUUGAACUGCUAACCGAUCAAAGUUGAAGUGUACUCUAAAUGGUUCCAUUAAGAUUGAUCAAAGAUACUAAAUAUGUAACUAUUAGAAUAACCUAUAUAAUAUGGAACAAACCGUGCAAGAAAAAAAAAUGUAAAACAUAAAUAUGUUAGAAUAUGCAUUAAUGAAUUAAUUAAUUUUUAUAUUCUAGUAUAGUAAUAUUAAAUUAAUAUUUUUAGGACGCGACUUUAUCUUGUUUAGAUUUUGUAUUAAUGGAAAGUUGACAUGUAUUAAAAUAAUAAUACUUUAAUUUAUCGGUAUAAUGAUUUCUGUCAAAUGUUUUAUAAACCUGAGGGAUUGGGAGGAUGACGAAGAGAUCAAACAGGAACGCCUUCCGGGACACGUUGCAUGAAUUCCUGUCGUCAUGUCGUAAUCCGACGUCGUAACGCCACCACCUGUUCGACUUGAACUGUAACCACAUGUUGGCCGCGUGCAAGGCGUCGGUCAUGCACCGGACCACCGUGACGGUGAUAGCAAACCACCCGUCAAUGAACACACACAUCCAGGAGUCACUUAUGGAGAGUGUGUAGAAAAACAGCGGGUCGAUGAACAUACCGAUGAUGCAUGCAAGCAAAUAAACCUGUUCCCACGCCAGUAAAACACCUCGACGGAAUGCGCCGCCGUGAAUGCUGCUCUUACUCUCCGUCGACCCCACUUCCAUUGUUUCAUCGCCGGAGUAGUCGUCGAUUGUGUCGGAGUAAUCAUCGGAAAAACGAUGCCUGCUGUUCAUUUUGACUGGAGUUCCCCACAAUGAAGAAGAAAGAAACGAUAUAUUUAUAUAUAUACACACACGUGGAUAUGUAUAUAUGUAUACAUAUGUCUCUGCAUAUAUACACAGAGAAAGAAAGAGAAGGGGUACGCGUGGAAACGACACUAUUACGAGUGUGAAAUUUUGAUAUGUAGCUCAGGUGAUCAGGUUGAUUAAUGUACUGGGAUACAUAGUUGCUGUGAAUGUACAUAAUUGUCCUUUUGUAAGCAUGUGAAUUGUUCGGUUGAUAUGUAUAGGGAGUAAAAUGUUGGUCAAACGACUCCAACCAAUAGGAUCACUCUCAAAGAAGCUAUAGAGAAUGAAAAAUGGAGAAUUGCAAUGAAAGGAAGACUUGUAAUAAGUUCAAAGAAACUCAUGGUGAAUGCAAUCAUUCACAUAACUAUAGGAAAUCGACUACUAGGAGAGGGUUUUUUUUGGUAAUUACAAAGUUGAAAACUAUUGAAACAUUCGUCUGGAUUUACUCUCAAGUGGAACUUUGUUCCUACAUAUAUAGGUGGAACAAGAAAUUGUUUAAAAUUUUAUAUUGUUCUUCAUGAUUCAUCAAAUGAUCGAUGGGAGUAUCACAAAAGGUUAGAAAGGUGAUGGUCGUCGGUUUAACUUAUUGGUUGUCAUAUAGAGGUAGAAGUGUUAAUGUUAAUCGUCACAAGAUGGGCAUUGGGCUCAUUAUAUUAGAAGUGAAACUUCAAUCUUUUGCAUGGAUAGCUUUCUCUCUCCAUCAUCCCUUGGUUUUCUAAAGAAUCUUAAAAUAGACCUGCCAAAAUUCAAUAACUAUGCAACAAAUUGAAUAAGAUAGUAGAACCCUAAUCAAGCCAAAAGUCCGGUUACGAUCAUAUAAAUAGAAACAAAAUCCUGACUUAGGACUUUGACAAGUCUCUAUUUAAACUAGCAUCUUAUUUUGUAACGAGUAAAAAUGAUUAUUUUCUUGAUUAGCUAGUCUCAUUUUUUUUCCCAGUAAUAUAGCAUAUUGAUCAUUAUUUACUUUGACACCCCCUAUUUUUUGGUUAGAAAUGGCCCCUAUAUUUUUAAUAUUAUAGAUAUUAGAUCCAAAAAUAUAAAAAUUUAGCUGUGGCCCUCCCUGCUCACCAGUUUUUAUACAUAUUAUAUUUUUGGCCGCCAAAUUAAAUAUUAAAGCUCCGCCCUUAAUUGAAGCCAAUCACCACUACAUCUUAUACCAAAGGCUUUCUAACUUAACUGUUUUUUUAUCGGUCUGGUCUGGUUUUUUUACCGGUCCGGUCCGGCCCGUUCCGGGUAAAAACUGGUUACGGACCGACUUAUUUUUUUAAAAAAAAUUGUAUUAUGUGAAAAUUUUUAAAUAAGCAUAUUUCAUUCGUUUUAAGUCGGAUUGACAUACAGUUUUUUUCAACGUAUAAUUUAGAGUUUGUAGAUGAUUCUUGACUAUAAUCUUGUUGUUUUUAGUUUUAUAUUCGAUGAGUUAUAAGCCUUCAAAGAUGAGAUAUCAAAGCUGAAAUAUUUUAGUUUUUCAGCAAGAAAUUUAUAAUUUGUAUUCUGUGUAAAUUUUUUAAACAAACAUAUCUCAUUCGUUUUAAAUCGGAUUGACAUGCUGUUUUUUUCCAACGUGUAAUUUAGAGUUCAUAGAUUAUUUUAGACUAUAAUUUUAUUGUUUUUGGUGUUAUAUUCGAUGAGCUACAAUCCUUUAAAGAUAAGAUAUGAAAGCUGAAAUAUUUAAGCUUUUCAGCAAAAAAAUUUGAACUUUUGUAUUCUGUAAAAUUCUUUAAAUAAGCAUAUCUCAUUCGUUUUAAGUCGGAUCGACAUGUGGUUUUUCCAAUGUGUAAUUUAGAGUUUGUACAUGAUUUUAGACUAUACUUUUAUUGUUUUUGGUGUUAUUUUAGAUGAGUUACAGACAUUCAAAGAUGAGAUAUCAAGCAAAAGUAUUUUAGCAAGAAAUUUAAACUUUUGUAUUCUGUUAAAUUCAUUAAACAAACAUAUCUCAUUCGUUUUAAAUCGGAUUGACAUGCGGUUUCUACCAACAUGUAAUUUAGAGUUUGUAGAUAACUUUAAACUAUAUUUUUGUUGUUAUAUUCAAUGAGUUACAAUCAAUAAAAGUUAUGUAACGCCCGUAGAUCCGGGCUAGUCAAUUUAGAUAUAAUAGGGGUCGAAAAUGACUUUUCGACAAAAGAUUAUUUAGAAUAAAUAAUCUUAAACAAGUUGUAGUUUAUGUUACAAGGUUUCCGUACAUAUAAAGAGCGCCAAAAUCCGAGUUAUAACGAAGAAGUUAUGACCCGUCGAAGUUUCGCGACGGAACCGGCACGACACCGGAAAGUGUAAAUAGUGAAUUUAUGAUAGAGCGACUUUUAACAUUAACGAUCUAAACAAAAGUCAUAGAAAAUGUUAAACCGAGAGUGUCCAUAAAAAGAACGCCCAAAUCUGACUUCGUAUGAGGAAGUUAUGAUUUUUCUAAGAUUUAACAUAGCAGUGCACAGCCCGAAAAUUCGAAUAUUAGAUCGGUCGAUUUUCAGCCAAAAUAAUCUAAACGAGAAAUGAAGAUAUCAUUAAUAGGAGUUAAACGAUAAAAAGAUAGUAAAAAACGGAGCUCGUAUGCAGAAGUUAUGGACGAAGCUUAGUCUCUACUUUUCGAGCGCGACAAAUUCGAUACAGUUUUGUAAAUCUGAGAUAGAUUGAGAAUUAGCCAACAAGUUCUAAAUGAAAGUUGUAGUACUCGUAAAUACCAACACGUGGAUAUAAAUAUUGACAAAAAAGGAGAUCGUAUGCGAAAGUUACGGACGAAGCUUAGUCUAUACUUUUCGAGCGCGGCGAAUUCGAUAUAGUUUUUGCAAAUAUGAGAUAGAAGGGGAAUUAGCCGAUGGGGUCUAAAUGAAAGUUGUAGUACUCGUAAAUACCAACACGUGGAUAUAAAUAACGUAGAAAACGGAGCUCGUGCGUGGAAGAUACGGGCGAAGCUUAGAGACUACUUUACUAUAAAACUCCUAUAAAUAAAGGGUGAACUCCUCAUAUUUUCUUCACACCAUAAGCCUUUCUUUCUCUCUCUAACUUCUCUCUAGCCUCCCUAAACCCCUCCCAAGUCUAGGGAACCUCCCUAGCACGAGAAGGAAGCCCCGGAGCGCCCGACGGCUCCGAGAAGAAAAGCUUUCGGCUNNNNNNNNNNNNNNNNNNNNNNNNNNNNNNNNNNNNNNNNNNNNNNNNNNNNNNNNNNNNNNNNNNNNNNNNNNNNNNNNNNNNNNNNNNNNNNNNNNNNNNNNNNNNNNNNNNNNNNNNNNNNNNNNNNNNNNNNNNNNNNNNNNNNNNNNNNNNNNNNNNNNNNNNNNNNNNNNNNNNNNNNNNNNNNNNNNNNNNNNNNNNNNNNNNNNNNNNNNNNNNNNNNNNNNNNNNNNNNNNNNNNNNNNNNNNNNNNNNNNNNNNNNNNNNNNNNNNNNNNNNNNNNNNNNNNNNNNNNNNNNNNNNNNNNNNNNNNNNNNNNNNNNNNNNNNNNNNNNNNNNNNNNNNNNNNNNNNNNNNNNNNNNNNNNNNNNNNNNNNNNNNNNNNNNNNNNNNNNNNNNNNNNNNNNNNNNNNNNNNNNNNNNNNNNNNNNNNNNNNNNNNNNNNNNNNNNNNNNNNNNNNNNNNNNNNNNNNNNNNNNNNNNNNNNNNNNNNNNNNNNNNNNAAACCCUGGCAGCUAUGGAUUUAGUGCCCGUUGAGUAAACCCUGGCAACGAUGGAUUUCAUGCCGAUUCCUUAGGAUGAUCCUUAGGAAUGAAUUAACGAGGAGUAGCUGAUUCUUAGGGUAGACCCUUAAGAGUAGAGAAGAUAAUGGGGAUGGGUAAUUGGGUUAACUGUUUGACGAUUAAACAUAAUAAUUAUAUUAUUGUGGGUUGAAAACCCUAUGUACUCACCAGGUUUCCCAACCUGCACACUCUGUUUAUUUAUAUCACAUGUGUUGAUAUGAAGUCACAUUACACUGAGAGAUUAAGGAGAUAUAGAUCACUAGUGAUAAUGAAUGUAAGUUCUGUUUAUGCUUAUAUUUCUGUAUUAACGGUAACAUCCCAAAUGUUUUAAAAUGAAUAAAAAUACAUUUCUUCAGAAAUGCUUUGAUAACAUAUUUAUCAUGUUUUACUGGGAACAAAUUCCACAACAUUUUUAUUAAAAGAUGUACUCUGAUUUUUAUAAAGCAUAAACAAAAUCGAUCUUUUCUGGCCGUGAAAAAUGUGGAUGUCACAGUUGGUAUCAGAACAUUAGUUUAAGCGAACUAGGAAUUUGUAGGAUUUCUAGACUUAAACUUAGAAUGCUAAGAAAUGAGUUNGCGAUGAUUGUGAGAUGAGUGUCUGCUAUAUUUUAGACACAAGCACUAGUUUAUUUUAGGAAAGAUGCCUAAAAUGUUUUAUGUGCUAAAUGUUUUAUGUUAUAGCUAUAAAGAUGCCAUAUAUGCUAUUAUUUGUUCGGAUCUAUGGUCUGUUGCCGACCGGAUCUGGAAAUUUUAUGUGUUCAGAUUUCUAAACGUUUGAUUACGGUAUUAGAACUGGCAUAUAACUUUUCGGUGUGACAAGGAGAUCUAUACGUCUAUCGUAAAUAAAAUCUUUCCUAUCUUAAAAUUCUCGCCUCAGUACACCGAACGUCUGCUUGGGUGUACAAAACGUCAUGGUAAAGACAGACUAGGAAAUAUCCGAGAAGAUGACAACCUGAGCCUAAGAAUGUGAUGGGUCAAGCAUCGGUCAUUGCGCCUGCACCCAAACCUAUCACAAUGGCAGAAGUUCAGGAAGUGAUGCGAACCAUGAUAGACUGAGAAAAUAGAGGAAAUGAGAUGGCUUACGAUAGUAAAUGAUACCUAUCGGAAGAUAUCAUAAGAGAGGUAUCUUGUCUUUAGAAUACGUCUGAUAAAAUAGCAGUACGUCUAGAGAAGUACGGUACAUCUGAAUGUACACAUUUGAUUGGCGGGAUGAUAGAACGAUUGGUGUAAUUCCUAAAGUUUUCCUAUCAUCUGGAAUGUCCAUCACCAACCGAGUUGAAGCAGAAUUGAUGAUUGAAGAUAUGCAUGGAAGAAGUCCUAGUAGAGUCUAGGGAAAUUUUUAUGAUUAUUUGGACACCCUCGUAUGUGUUAAAUUGUUUUGUGAUUUUAGGACUUGGGGACUGCGAGAUAGUACUUGGGACGAGUAUGAGUAGGUGUGAAAGGUAGUAGAUGCAUAUACUAUCGGAAGCACAUGACUCACGCUUGGGUCAGGGAAAGUCACAAGGUUACCAAGAAACUAGUAAUUGAUUUCGUUUUAUUCAAGUAUGUUGUUACCAUCAUUUCGGUAAUGACUAAAAAGAUGAUUGUUAUUCCGACCCUAGUGGUCAUAUGAAAUUGAGUCCGACUAAGACGAAUAUGUUACAUGGUUCAGAGAACCAAGUCCGAUGUAGUAUCUGACUUAAACUAGAAGAUUGAAGUGAAAGACAGUCAAAACGAUCAGUAGAGGUAUCUGGAUAGUUGCUUGUAGCUAGGAAUGCUACCUUUUAAGAUGUGAUUAUAUCACAUUAGAACAUGAAGGGGGGUAUAGUCUGUUCUGGAAAUUUGACUCUAAAAGACCCGAGUCUAAGCGUUCCAACAUACGAUGUUAGGUCAUUACAAUAGGACACAUCGGUCCACGAUAGUAAUCCUAAGAUUGUUAAGAGGAAGAAGCAGUCUCCAGUAAGGAUCGAGAUUGUGACUUGAAGGUCAUAAUUGGGAGUCCAACGUGAGAUAGGGAGCGGGUCCAAGAUCGGGCACCGCCUGUAGUCUGGAAAUCUUAGAGUUAGAUACUCGUUUAAAGAAACAUCAAAGUUACGGUUAUUACUUAGGAUGAAGAGAUAAUGUAUGGAGUCAUCAUGUGAGCCCUGUUUCUUUGAUGAUUCUGGGACGUAAUCAUCCUAAGAGGGAGAUAAUUGUAACGCCUGUAGAUCCGGGCUAGUCAAUUUAGAGAUAAUAGGGGUCGAAAAUGACUUUUCGGCAAAAGAUUAUUUAGAAUAAAUAAUCUUAACCAAGUUGUACUAUAUGUUACAAGGUUUCCGUACAUAUAAAGAGCACCGAAAUCCGAGUUAUAACGAAGAAGUUAUGACCCGUCGAAGUUUCGCGACGGAACCGGCACGGCACGGGAAGUGUAAAUAGUGAAUUUACGAUAGAGCGACUUUUAGCCUUAAAGAUCUAAAGAAAAGUCAUAGAAAAUAUUAAACCGAGAGUGUCCAUAAAAAGAACGCCCAAAUCUGACUUCGUAUGAGGAAGUUAUGAUUUUUCUAAGAUUUAGCAUAACAGUGCACAGUCCGAAAAUUCGAAUUUUAGAUCGGUCGAUUUUCAGCCAAAAUAAUCUAAACGAGAAAUGAAGAUAUCAUUAAUAGGAGUUAAACGAUAAAAAGAUAGUAAAAAACAGAGCUCAUAUGCGAAAGUUAUGGACGAAACUUAGUCUCUACUUUUCGAGCGCGACAAAUUCGAUACAGUUUUGUAAAUCUGAGAUAGAUUGAGAAUUAGCCAACAAGUUCUAAAUGAAAGUUGUAGUACUCGUAAAUACCAACACGUGGAUAUAAAUAUUGACAAAAAAGGAGAUCGUAUGCGAAAGUUACGGACGAAGCUUAGUCUAUACUUUUCGAGCGCGGCGAAUUCGAUACAGUUUUUGUAAAUAUGAGAUAGAAGGAGAAUUAGCCGACGGGGUCUAAAUGAAAGUUGUAUUACUCAUAAAUACCAACGCGUGGAUAUAAAUAACGUAGAAAACGGAGCUCGUACGCGGAAGAUACAGACGAAGCUUAGAGACUACUUUAUUAUAAAACUCCUAUAAAUAAAGGGUGAACUCCUCAUAUUUUCUUCACACCAUAAGCCUUUCUUUCUCUCUCUAACUUCUCUCUAGCCUCCCUAAACCCCUCCGAAGUCUAUGGAACCUCCCUAGCACAAGAAGGAAGCCCCGGAGCGCCCGACGGAUUCGAGAAGAAAAGCUUUCGGCUCGGAAAUGCAUCUAGCGAAGCCGGUUUUCCAUAAAACCCGCUGUAAGUGAGCUACGCUUACGCUAUUUUUUAAAUAGCUUUUAUUUAAUUAUAGCAACGUUAUUAGGAACUUAUAAUAAGUACUUUGGCUAUUAUUAUGAUUUAUAUAAGUAUUGAUUAACGCUUAUAUAAUAGUAAUAAUAGUUAGACUAUUUAUUAGUCGCGGUUAACGUUAAAAAAUAAACCGUAGUGGUAUUGAUACUAGGUUUUGUCGAGGAAAAUUGUUUUGAGAUAACGAAGCACUGUCUGAGUUCGGCAUCACCACCUAAUCAAGUGAGUGCAUGGUCCCUUUCAUCUUACACAUAGAUAUGAAGUAUUUUAUAUAAACUACGUGCUAUGUGUGAAUAUUAUCUGUAUAAUUGCUAUCUAUGCUGGAUGAACGAUUUUAUACAUGUUUUAAAUGAUUUAAACUGUAUAUGUAUUUUAUAUCUACGAUAAUGUUGGGGUAAAACAUGGGUAGAUGUAAUAGAUGGAGUAUGAGUUGGAUGAUGAGUUGAGAGGUGAAAUAGACCGUGAGGUGAGGGUGAGAGGUGGACGAUGUGAGAAGCCUUUUUCCCAAAUGAUGGCCCCGUCAUUCAACAGAGUAUGGAUGACAACCACGGACUAUUCUAGACAGUCCAGUGGAACACUAGCAGGCUCGCAACCUGUAGGUGUUAUGAACGAUGUGUUCACCGGUGUACUCUAAAAAUCCAUUGACAUGUAUUGUGAGUGGACACUGUCGAUAAACGAAAUAGCCCUGACAGCUAUGGAUUUAGUGUCUGUUGAGAAAACCCUGACAGCUAUGGAUUUAGUGCCCGUUGAGUAAACCCUGGCAACGAUGGAUUUCAUGCCGAUUCCUUAGGAUGAUCCUUAGGAAUGAAUUAACGAGGAGUAGCUGAUUCUUAGGGUAGACCCUUAAGAGUAGAGAAGAUAAUGGGGAUGGGUAAUUGGGUUAACUGUUUGACGAUUAAACAUAAUAAUUAUAUUAUUGUGGGUUGAAAACCCUAUGUACUCACCAGGUUUCCCAACCUGACCCACUCAGUUUAUUUAUAUCACAGGUGUUGAUAUGAAGUCACAUUACACUAAGAGAUUAAGGAGAUAUAUAGAUCACUAGUGAUAAUGAAUGUAAGUUCUGUUUAUGCUUAUGUUUCUGUAUUAACGAUGACAUCCCAAAUGUUUUAAAAUGAAUAAAAAUACAUUUCUUCAGAAAUGCUUUGAUAACAUAUUUAUCAUGUUUUACUGGGAACAAGUUCCGCAACAUUUUUAUUAAAUGAAGUACUCUGAUUUUUAUAAAGCAUAAACAAAAUCGGUCUUUUCUGGUCAUGAAAAAUGGGGAUGUCACAAGUUAAGAUAUCAAAGCUAAAAUAUUUCAGCUUUUCAACAAUUAUUUUAGACUGUAAUUCUGAAUUUUAUGUAUCUUUUGAUAGAUAAAUCAUAUUAAAGGAAUCCUGAUAGAGUACCGGAAAAUUCUGACUUCGAAAUUGUAAUGGAUAUGGUGAACUUCUUUGAAAAUUUCAAGACAAAAUAGAGCUUGUCUCAGCUACAUCAAAACCUUUGGUAAAUCUUUUUAUCUGGGUAGUCUUAGAUGUGGACAUACAUCUAAGAAAGUGGUCAACCAAGCCAAUGUUUCUCGAAAUGGUAAAGGACAUGAAGACGAAAUACGAAAAGUAUUGUAGUGCCUACAACAAGAUGAACGAUUUUAUGUACUUUGCGAUUUUACUUGAUCGUACCACCAAAUCACCUUUUUUGUUACAUACAUUUAAAAAAAAUGAUCGGGUACAUGGAACCAUCAUUGACCUCCGCAUGCAUUUGUUGGUAAACUUGAUAUAUAUGUUAAUUGGUAAACAUGUUAGAUUUAGAUGACAAUAUAUGUAUGUUUGUGUUAAAUUGUUACUGGUCCAAACGGGUCUAAGAACCGGAAAACCCGGACCUGGACCCGGACACGGAUACAGACAUGGACGCGACUCUUCCGUUCCGGUCCACGGUCCAUAAUAUUCUCCAUAACCGGUCCGGUCCAAAUGCUCACCCUAUGAUAUAUAACAUGUAGAUAUCUCUUAUAAAACAUUAGAGAUCCUUUUAUUGUUUGUACCUUUACACACACACACACACACAUAUAUAUAUAUAUAUAUAUAUAUAUAUAUAUAUAUAUAAUGGAAGAAAGAAGAUCAAUAGAUUGAAUUAUUUCAUGAUACAUAAGUAAUCCUAAUUUUUUAACGUUCUAGAUUUCUUGCACCUCCUAUGGUCCCUUUAAACGUAGACACCCCAUUUUCAAUCCGAAGAUUGUUCAACCUAAAAAUACAUCAUUGCACAUGGAUCUUACCUUUUUCAACAUAUAAACAUGCUUCCAUAUUACCCUUAAAAUUGAAAAUACAUAGUGCAUUUCUUGGACUAAUAUUUUUAAGAUCCACACUCGAGAAUAUGAAGUACGCAAGCAUGUAACCCAUCUACAAGAUCCUUUGAUCGGUAAAUCCUUAUGGAUAAGGUUAGAGAUUGCUGUCUUACAACAAAAAUAUAGAACAAUACUUAAUGUUCUCUUACAUACCAUCCUUGGAGCCAAUAUUACCACCUAAGUUACAUAUAAUUAUGUAAUAUAAAUCAUCCUAAAUUACAAAAUUUAAGGGUUAUUCAACUUCUAUAUCCAUGUUUUCAUACCUAACAUGCCAAUUUUCCUAACACUAUAUUUCUAACACUUUAAGAUGCUCUCCGAUCAACUGGAAAAUGUUAGCUCCUCAGUCUCUAACGAAUGGUUACUUCCUUAACUCAUAGGUAGCCAAUCAAAUGAAUUUGAUGAGGUCGCAAACAAUAUUAAAAAAAUCCAAUCCUUUAAUACCAUUCCACCACACACGCACUAUGCUUACAUGUAACGCCCAUAGAUUCAUUCUAGUCAAUUUAGAGACAAUGAGCAUUAAAAAAAGACUUUUUUUUAUAGAAUAUUGUUUAGAAGGAAUAAUCUUAACCAAGUUACAGUAUAUGUCACAAGAGUUCCACACAUAUAAAGAACGCCGAAAUCUAAGUUAUAACGAAGAAGAUAUGACAUGUCAAAGUUUUACGGUUAAACCGGUACGACACUGCGUAACGUAAAAAGUGAAUUUUUGAUAAAUUACUUUUCAGCCUUAGACAUCUGAUGUAUGGAAUUAAUGAUUUUUAAAACGAAAAAUUUUAUCACUAUUUUUGGGUUGUUACAAGUUGGUAUCAGAGCCUUGGUUUGAGGGAUUCAGACACUUUCGGGAGUGUUAGAAUUCAAACUGAGGAAAUGAGAACAUUUUCAAAAGAAAAAUGAAUUUAUAAAAGAUUUUUUACAAUACUGAAAGGGGGUGUGAUGCAUGCAAUCAACCGAGCUCAAGUAAGUGGUUCCUAAAAUACCCAUACCCAUGUGUUAUGAUUAUUAUGCCUGAUAUGUGAUCUGCAUGCUAGAAUAGGGCUAAGGAUACCUUCAAGAAUCGUAUGUUAGAUUUUCCUAAUUUGUGUAAUGCCUUAUAGCCUUGGAGAAUGGGAUGCCAUAUGUUAGAUGGGAUGGAUAUCGGCUCAGUUAAUUGCUAAUUGUAUGCUUUAAAAGUUGUAUACGAUUAUGUUCAUAUAGCCCUAGAAUGAUUAGUUUAACCUUAUUUCCUAUUCUUUGUUUGGUUAUGGAAUUAGGGUAGGAUCAUUAUUCGAUAAUCUAUGUGAUCUCAUUUUUUUUAUACAACUUGCAUAAAUAAGGAAACCAAAAGUGUUGGUUAAGAUUCUCGGUAUUACAGGGCGGUCGAGUUGAGAAUUCCUAAGNCGGUCGGGUUAAGAAUUCCUAGGAGAGUCUAGGAUAUGUCAUAGUAGGAUAUGUAUGUGGUUUAGCAUAGGGAUGGUGUGUAUGGUUUUAGCAGGGUGACUUAGAGGAUUUGGGACAGUUCUUGAGGAAAGUACGAAUAGGUAUGGAAGGUACUAUUGGGACCAUACUACUAAAAGCACAGGAUCUGUACUCGAGUCAAGGACGAUUUUGGAGAUUCUAAGAGGCCUGUAGAAUGGAAGUUCCCUUCAGUUUAUGCUGAUUGUUUAUAUGUUUGUAUUUCAGUUAAGUAUGGUGACCACUCGAGGAUGAGCUUUUGGAUCUAUUUUUGGCUUUGGUGCCGAACCGCUGGAUAAGCAAUUACGUAAGUUUAUCACUUCAGAGAUUACCAGAGGUAUCAUGGAGUCCACCCCUAUGAUUUUCGCUACCAUCAAGGAGGGGAUUAUAGAGCUUAUGGAUGAGCAAAUCGCGGACCUUCAGGCAGAGAUCACUGUAGGAAAGUUAUGAGGACAAACUCCCUCGUUUUGGGAGUUCAAGGCAUGUGGAGCUCUGAUGUUCUUUGGGGAUAAGGACUGUAACGUCGUGAUUUUUACCAUAUUUUUUUUGCUUUUUAAAACAUUUAUUUAACAGAAUACCUUAACGAAAGACUUAGUUUUAAUUCCAAAACAUUUUCAAAACCACAACAUUACUCCGAAAACUCAAACGAAAUUCCAAACAAUUUAAAAUUUAAACAAAAGUAUUUUUAAAGUAAAGAAUCAAAACGUGUCCAAGAGUGGUAUCGUUAAUAUAAAUCUACUACCCAUAAGAACCCGUCUCACCAAGGCCAAUCUUCUAAACUACCUGCACCAAUCAAGGCACAAAAGAGAAAAGAUACAAGUGUCAGCCCUUGCUGAGUGAGUUCAUAAAGUUGCACAUAAAACAUACAAACCCCAAAUGGGUCAAUCAUUCAUUUUAUGAUGAAGCAUAAAAAUGAUAGACAAAUACCACUUAGAAAACAACCGCAUAUCAUAAUUAUUCAACCGUAAAGAUGCAUAUAUGUUUAAUCACAAUUCUACCACAUAACAUAUAUGAUCAACCAAAUACCAAAUAAGCAACCGCAUAACAUAUAAAUAAUCACAUUUCAUAUUUAAGCAACCUUUAAUUGUUCAACCUUUUAUUAAUAACCAACAUUUGUUAUAUAUUCAACCUUUUAAUAUGCAACCAACCUUUUGUUACAUGUUCAACCUUUUAUUAAUAACCAACCUUUGUUAUAUAUUCAACCUUUUAAUAUGCAACCAACCGUUUGUUACAUGUUCAAACUUUUAUUAUAUCUAUCCAACCGAUUGAUAGAAACGUGUCUCUUAGUGCACCCUAACCUAAGAGAAACACCUCGUUCACUACUUGUGUGCACGACCAGCCGAAUGCUCUAAGUGGCUCAUGACUUCCACUCGAAACACCAACCUCGUGACUCCACUUUCGCUACUCCGACUUUGCAAAGUACAAUACCCCGUGGUGUCGUUCAGGAUUGGUACAAACAGUGCCAAUUCCAACGAUACACCUCCCGAUUCCCACGUGAUGUUUGCGCUGGCCGCGAACGAGGGACCAACAUCACUCCAGCCCACGAACACUGAAGUGCCCGCAAACCAUGUGUCACAUGGUCAUCUAGAAAGACCAGCAACUAAUCACCGUUGUGGCUAUAGCUCUUCCUAUAGGUACUCUUUCAACCUAGUAGGCACCCUCAAUGACCCGGAUAAGGUUUUAGGCAAAGAUCAUCAAACUACCCAAACCCACUACGCAUAACCUCGAAAUGUCAUUUAUACAUUAAGUAAAGCAUGUAAUGCAUACCAUAUAUAAUGUGUAUUAAAUAUGCAAUGUAUUCAUUACCCAACACAUCAAAACAUAACCAUACAUCAUAUUUCAAGUAACUUAAGCUAGCAUGUCGUAUACAUCAAGUAUAUCAAAGUGUAAGCAACAUAGCAAUUAGGUCAUAUCAUGGCAUUAGCACAAAGAAUAUAUUAGCAUCACAAAUAUCAUAUCAUCAUCAAGCACAAGUAAUGACAUGGUCAUCCUAAAGUGAAUCAAAUCACCAUCUACGGAUUGCACGUUUCAAUAAUGCAACCUUAGUCAGUUAAAACUAUGAACUCACCUUUAGCCUUGAUGAAAUCUUCCUUCUAUUCCAAGUCUUGAACUUACUUGAAGUUCUCAAGGCUCCACCUAAACACCACAUAUAACAUUCAAUUAACAAAUAAAGUAUAUGUUUUAAAAAUACAACUUUAUUCUAACUUUUAUAUUAAUUUUUAUAUUUUACCUGCCCGACCCCCGUUCAGUGUUUUAGGCAUAAAACAGAAUCCAUAACUCCUAUCGAGCUGAAUGUGGAAUUCCUGAAAACUAGACUCGAUUUCCUACAUUUUAUCCAGAGAGGGGCAUCGCCCAAUUCUGCUUAGAUUAGCAGCUACAGCCCUUGCAAGAUGGGGAAAAGUUUAUGUGCAGAUUUUCAAUAAUUGCCAAGAAUCACCAUAUGAUUUAUGAUUUGGACAAAGGAUUAAAGACACAUAAAUUAACACACCAAAAGCUUGAAUGAAGUUAUUAAGACAUAAAUUAAGUGGUUUAUGAAAAGACUAAGAAUUGACUAAAAGAUGACUGAAAGUAAGAUGCCCGUAAACACCAAACACCAAAAAUCUUCAUACACCAAUAAAGACUUAGUUCACAUUCAAGAUACAUAUAGGGAUGAACUUUGAGUGAAGUUUUAGACACACAUUAUGGGUUUUUCAAGUUUGUUAUUU
rnacentral:lncRNA from 1 species